CCUACGAGCGGCAGCAGUGAGGAAUAUUGGUCAAUGGCCGUAAGGCUGAACCAGCCAAGUCGCGUGAAGGAAGAAGGAGCUAUGGUUUGUAAACUUCUUUUAUAGGGGAAUAAAGGUAUCCACGUGUGGAUAUUUGCAUGUACCCUAUGAAUAAGCAUCGGCUAACUCCGUGCCAGCAGCCGCGGUAAUACGGAGGAUGCGAGCGUUAUCCGGAUUUAUUGGGUUUAAAGGGAGCGUAGGUUGGUUGUUAAGUCAGCUGUGAAAGUUUGUGGCUCAACCGUAAAAUUGCCAUUGAGACUGGCAGUCUUGAGUACAGUUGAGGUAGGCGGAAUGCGUGGUGUAGCGGUGAAAUGCUUAGAUAUCACGAAGAACUCCGAUUGCGAAGGCAGCUUACUAAACCGUAACUGACACUGAUGCUCGAAAGUGUGGGUAUCAAACAGGAUUAGAUACCCUGGUAGUC
rnacentral:rRNA from 1 species